rnacentral:rRNA from 1 species
AGAGCGAACGCUGGCGGCAGGCCUAACACAUGCAAGUCGAACGGACCCUUCGGGGUUAGUGGCGGACGGGUGAGUAACACGUGGGAACGUGCCUUUAGGUUCGGAAUAGCUCCUGGAAACGGGUGGUAAUGCCGAAUGUGCCCUUCGGGGGAAAGAUUUAUCGCCUUUAGAGCGGCCCGCGUCUGAUUAGCUAGUUGGUGGGGUAAUGGCCCACCAAGGCUACGAUCAGUAGCUGGUCUGAGAGGAUGACCAGCCACAUUGGGACUGAGACACGGCCCAAACUCCUACGGGAGGCAGCAGUGGGGAAUCUUGCGCAAUGGGCGAAAGCCUGACGCAGCCAUGCCGCGUGUAUGAUGAAGGUCUUAGGAUUGUAAAAUACUUUCACCGGUGAAGAUAAUGACUGUAGCCGGAGAAGAAGCCCCGGCUAACUUCGUGCCAGCAGCCGCGGUAAUACGAAGGGGGCUAGCGUUGCUCGGAAUUACUGGGCGUAAAGGGAGCGUAGGCGGACAUUUAAGUCAGAGGUGAAAUCCCGGAGCUUAACUUCGGAACUGCCUUUGAUACUGGGUGUCUUGAGUGUGAGAGAGGUAUGUGGAACUCCGAGUGUAGAGGUGAAAUUCGUAGAUAUUCGGAAGAACACCAGUGGCGAAGGCGACAUACUGGCUCAUUACUGACGCUGAGGCU